rnacentral:rRNA from 1 species
AUGGGGCCGGUUCGGUGCGCGGCGAGGAGUCUCAGUGGCUCCCUGCUCCAGCGAACGCGGGCGGCGGUCGCCGGGGAGGGACGCCGGCUCGUGCCAAGCACGUUCAUGCGCCCGCGCCAGCUCUCCGGCGAGGUCUCCAGCGAGCGAUCGCAGGUGCCGGAGCGACUCCUCCUCGAGACAGGCCGGAUCAUGCGCAACCGCCAGCUCGCCAGCGAGAUAUCCAAGAGACUACAGGAGCCGUCUGCCUUGGAAUCUGAGGUCCAGUGCAGGAUGGAGGCGCUUCUUGCAUCGUGGCAUAACUUGGAGGAGCUUCACAAGGAAGCAGCACCAGAUGCCUUUGAGUUGUAUGUGAAGGCCUAUGGAAAUGCGGCUAAGGCUGUGGUUCGUGGAGCUGCCAAGGCGUUGCUUUAUUUCUGUAUGAUUAGUUCCGUUAUUUUGGGUGACAAGUAG